CCCUGAGAGCGGCGCACGGGUGCGUAACGCGUAUGCAACCUGCCUUAUACAGGGGGAUAGCCCAUGGAAACGUGGAUUAAUAUCCCAUAGGAUUACGGAGUCGCAUGAUUUUGUGAUUAAAACUACGGUGGUAUAAGAUGGGCAUGCGUCUGAUUAGGUAGUUGGUAGGGUAACGGCCUACCAAGCCGACGAUCAGUAGGGGUUCUGAGAGGAUUACCCCCCACACUGGUACUGAGACACGGACCAGACUCCUACGGGAGGCAGCAGUGAGGAAUAUUGGUCAAUGGGCGAGAGCCUGAACCAGCCAUCCCGCGUGCAGGAUGACGGCCCUAUGGGUUGUAAACUGCUUUUCUGCUCCAAGAAACCUGAUUACGUGUAAUCAGUUGACGGUAGAGUAGGAAUAAGCAUCGGCUAACUCCGUGCCAGCAGCCGCGGUAAUACGGAGGAUGCAAGCGUUAUCCGGAUUCAUUGGGUUUAAAGGGUGCGCAGGUGGGAAUGUAAGUCAGUGGUGAAAUACUGCCGCUUAACGGUAGAGCUGCCAUUGAUACUGCGUUUCUUGAGUAUGGUUGA
rnacentral:rRNA from 1 species